AACGCGAAGAACCUUACCAGGUCUUGACAUCCAGUGCAAACCUAAGAGAUUAGGUGUUCCCUCCGGGGACGCUGAGACAGGUGGUGCAUGGCUGUCGUUAGCUCGUGUCGUGAGAUGUUGGGUUAAGUCCCGCAACGAGCGCAACCCUUGUCAUUAGUUGCCAUCAUUAAGUUGGGCACUCUAAUGAGACUGCCGGUGACAAACCGGAGGAAGGUGGGGAUGACGUCAAGUCAUCAUGCCCCUUAUGACCUGGGCUACACACGUGCUACAAUGGACGGUACAACGAGAAGCGAACCUGCGAAGGCAAGCGGAUCUCUUAAAGCCGUUCUCAGUUCGGACUGUAGGCUGCAACUCGCCUACACGAAGCUGGAAUCGCUAGUAAUCGCGGAUCAGCACGCCGCGGUGAAUACGUUCCCGGGUCUUGUACACACCG
rnacentral:rRNA from 1 species